rnacentral:rRNA from 1 species
AGAGUUUGAUCAUGGCUCAGGACGAACGCUGGCGGCGUGCCUAAAACAUGCAAGUCGAACGAACUAGCAAUAGUUAGUGGCGAACGGCGGAGUAAUACAUAAGUAACGUGCCCCAAUGUCCGGGACAAACGCAGAAAUGCUAUAAAUACCGGAUGUGGCCGAGGAGAGGCAUCUCUCUUCGAUUAAACGGUUUUUCGCUUUGGGAGCGGCUUAUGACACAUCAGGUAGUUGGUGGGGUAACGGCCUACCAAGCCGACGACGUGUAGGGGGUCUGAGAGGAUGAUCCCCCCGAGUGGGACUGAGACACGGCCCACACACCUACGGGUGGCAGCAGUUGGGAAUCUUGCACAAUGGGGGCAACCCUGAUGCAGCGACGCUGCGUGGAGGAUGAAGGAUCUAGGUCUGUAAACUCCUUUUUCACGGAAAGACUUAGGACGGUACCGUGAGAAUAAGCUCCGGCUAACUACGUGCCAGCAGCCGCGGUAAUACA